rnacentral:rRNA from 1 species
CAGUCGCCACGGUAAUACAGAGGGUGCAAGCGUUAAUCGGAAUUACUGGGCGUAAAGCGCGCGUAGGUGGUUUGUUAAGUUGGAUGUGAAAGCCCCGGGCUCAACCUGGGAACUGCAUCCAAAACUGGCAAGCUAGAGUACGGUAGAGGGUGGUGGAAUUUCCUGUGUAGCGGUGAAAUGCGUAGAUAUAGGAAGGAACACCAGUGGCGAAGGCGACCACCUGGACUGAUACUGACACUGAGGUGCGAAAGCGUGGGGAGCAAACAGGAUUAGAGACCCCAGUAGUCCCUGUCUCUUAUAC